rnacentral:rRNA from 1 species
AUUGAACGCUGGCGGCAUGCCUUACACAUGCAAGUCGAACGGCAGCAUGGAAGAGCUUGCUCUUCUGAUGGCGAGUGGCGAACGGGUGAGUAAAGCAUCGGAACGUACCGUGUAAUGGGGGAUAACGUAGCGAAAGUUACGCUAAUACCGCAUACGACCUGAGGGUGAAAGCAGGGGAUCGCAAGACCUUGCGUUAUACGAGCGGCCGAUGUCAGAUUAGCUAGUUGGUGAGGUAAAGGCUCACCAAGGCGACGAUCUGUAGUGGGUCUGAGAGGAUGAUCCGCCACACUGGGACUGAGACACGGCCCAGACUCCUACGGGAGGCAGCAGUGGGGAAUUUUGGACAAUGGGGGCAACCCUGAUCCAGCCAUGCCGCGUGAGUGAAGAAGGCCUUCGGGUUGUAAAGCUCUUUCGGCCGGGAAGAAAUCGCACAGGCUAAUACUCUGUGUGGAUGACGGUACCGGCAUAAGAAGCACCGGCUAACUACGUGCCAGCCGCCGCAGUAA